rnacentral:rRNA from 1 species
AACGAACGCUGGCGGCAUGCCUAACACAUGCAAGUCGAACGAGACCUUCGGGUCUAGUGGCGCACGGGUGCGUAACGCGUGGGAACCUGCCCUUAGGUUCGGAAUAACUCCCCGAAAGGGGUGCUAAUACCGGAUAAUGUCUUCGGACCAAAGAUUUAUCGCCUUUGGAUGGGCCCGCGUUGGAUUAGCUAGUUGGUAGGGUAAAAGCCUACCAAGGCGACGAUCCAUAGCUGGUCUGAGAGGAUGAUCAGCCACACUGGGACUGAGACACGGCCCAGACUCCUACGGGAAGCAGCAGUGGGGAAUAUUGGACAAUGGGCGAAAGCCUGAUCCAGCAAUGCCGCGUGAGUGAUGAAGGCCUUAGGGUUGUAAAGCUCUUUUACCCGGGACGAUAAUGACAGUACCGGGAGAAUAAGCGCCGGCUAACUCCGUG